AGCAUAUCAAUAAGCGGAGGAAAAGAAACCAACAGGGAUUGCCUUAGUAACGGCGAGUGAAGCGGCAAUAGCUCAAAUUUGAAAUCUGGCGCUUGCGUCCGAGUUGUAAUUUGUAGAGGAUGAUUUUGGUUAGGUACCUUUCGAGUUCCUUGGAACAGGACGCCUUAGAGGGUGAGAGCCCCGUACGAUUGGAUGCCGAGCCUCUGUAAAUCUCCUUCGACGAGUCGAGUAGUUUGGGAAUGCUGCUCUAAAUGGGAGGUAAAUUUCUUCUAAAGCUAAAUACCGGCCAGAGACCGAUAGCGCACAAGUAGAGUGAUCGAAAGAUGAAAAGCACUUUGAAAAGAGGGUUAAAUAGCACGUGAAAUUGUUGAAAGGGAAGGAUUUAUGACCAGACUUUUUCUAGGAGAAUCAUCCGGUGUUCUCACCGGUGCACUUCUUUUAGUUUAGGCCAGCAUCGACUUUCGGCGGUGGAUAAAAGCUUUAGGAAUGUGGCUUCCCUCGGGAAGUGUUAUAGCCUAUUGUAUAAUACACUGCUGGGGGUCGAGGUACGCGCUUCUGCAAGGAUGCUGGCGUAAUGGUUAUCAAUCACCCGUCUUGAAACACGGACCAAGGAGUCGAACAUUUGUGCGAGUGUUUGGGUGUUAAACCCUCACGCGUAAUGAAAGUGAACGGAGGUGAGAGCCCUUACGGGUGCAUCAUCGACCGAUCCUGAUGUUUUCGGAUGGAUUUGAGUAAGAGCAUAAAUGUUCGGACCCGAAAGAUGGUGAACUAUGCGUGGAUAGGGUGAAGCCAGAGGAAACUCUGGUGGAGGCUCGCAGCGGUUCUGACGUGCAAAUCGAUCGUCAAAUCUGCGCAUGGGGGCGAAAGACUAAUCGAACCAUCUAGUAGCUGGUUACCG
rnacentral:rRNA from 1 species